GAUGACUUUACCAGUCGGCGAUUGGCUCUUAUUUAGAAGGCGAGACUUAUUCCGACAUAUUGCGCGUUGCACUCUCUCCUAUUCAAAACAAUACGAGUGUCUUUGAUAAAACCCUCACGUAUUUUGACCAGUCGGAUGGAUCAUAUAAAAUUAGAAAUAAAAAAUAAUAAUUAAACGAGAAUUUAUCGAUCAGUACGUUUACUUUUAGUAAUUAACUACAUUAAAACGUAAGUGCUUUAUAAUUUUACUUAAUAUAAAAGGGCUAUUAAAAGAAGGCGCGGCCCUGCUCUGUCAUGUGAUACUUGUUACUUUUCUCAGCGCUGUUGAGACUGGACCAAUCACAGUCCUUUCUAAUUACUUGGCAACGCAUUUUUACCAUGAUUUUUACAUAUAAUUUUAUAGAAAUUUCUGUGGUCCAUUUCCAUCUAUAUUUCAGUUACCAAUCCGUGGAAUUAGAAUUAAUGUAAAAUAUUAAACUUUGUAGAGUACACACAACUUUAAUAAAACAAAAAAGCCGUGUGAUUUGAAUGCGACUCGACGGAGAAUCUGCCUUUCUGAGCCGCCUAGCGCCCUCUGGAGGAAUAGUGUUUUAGAAACCGCUAGCAAGCAACAUUUGCUGCUCGAAACGAAAACUAGUCUUUCACAACACCCAAAAGAGGAAAACAGUCUUUUCAGAGUUUAAAAGCGUCAGCGUUUUCAUUUAACAUCUGAGCCACAUGACCACACGUCUAUAUGUCAUGUGAAAGCUGCCCAUAUGAUACGCAGAGAGUGUUUUCCUUUCAGCUGAAUUCGUAAGGUCAGUAUAUCAGUACACGCGCACAAAUGCACUUUAAAGCCUAAUUUUAGUGCAGAUCCGUAGACUGCAGUAUACUUGAUGGAAUAAUGCAUUCAGACUGUAUUUUUGAGAGCUUGAUUGUUUAUACGAAGUCAAACAAUGGCAAACUCUAAAAGACGCACGAAACGAAAUGCACAUGGAAAUGGAACCGAGCAAGCAUCAUUUGCCCUGACUGUAGAGAAGCUUGAAAGACAAGGCAAUGUGGAGGUGAUCUCUAGCUCAGCAUGGCAGGGCUUCAGGAGAAAAGUGUGUCUGCUGGUGCCAUUCAUGUGGCCCCGGGGAAGUGUGCGGCUGCAGGGUCUGGUGAUUCUGUGUGUUGGGCUGCUGGCUCUUGAGCGCGUCAUCAAUGUGUUUGUACCCAUUUACAGCAGGAAUAUCGUGAACCAGCUGUCAGCAAUGGAGAGCUGGAGACCCCUGGCCAUCACGGUCUGUGUUUACGUCCUCCUUAAGUUCUUGCAGGGCGGAGGGGUAGGGACGUCAGGGUUUGUCAGUAACUUGCGCAGCUUCCUGUGGACUCGUGUCCAGCAGUACACCAGCCGUGUGGUGCAGGUCCGUCUUUUCGGUCACCUGCAUGGCCUCUCUCUGCGCUGGCACCUGGGCCGCCGCACAGGAGAUGUCCUGCGCAGCAUUGACCGUGGGACCUCCUCAGUCAACAACUUGUUAAGCUAUAUUGUGUUCAGCAUUGUACCCACUAUUGCUGACAUCGUCAUUGCCAUCAUCUAUUUUGUGACGUACUUCAGUGCCUGGUUCGGCCUCAUUGUCUUCAUUUGCAUGUUCCUCUACCUCACUCUCACCAUCAUCAUCACUGAAUGGAGAACCAAGUACAGGCGGGAAAUGAACACACAGGACAAUAAUGCCAAGUCAAAAGCAGUGGACUCACUUCUCAACUUUGAAACUGUGAAGUACUAUAAUUCAGAGGGUUUUGAAGUCAGGCGCUUUGAGGAUGCUAUCCUGAAAUAUCAGGCAUGUGAAUGGAAGACCAAUGCUUCCCUGGCCCUCCUGAACCAAACCCAGAACGUAAUCAUUGGGUUGGGGCUGUUGGCCGGAUCGCUGCUUUGUGCAUAUUAUGUUACAGUGGACAAGUUUCAAGUUGGUGACUAUGUCCUCUUUGGAACCUACAUUAUCCAGCUCUACACUCCACUCAACUGGUUUGGUACAUAUUAUAGAAUGAUCCAAAGUGCAUUUGUUGACAUGGAGAGCAUGUUUGAUCUACUAACAGAGGAAAAAGAGGUAAAGGAUGAUGUGAAUGCCGGAGACCUGUCGUUCACAGAAGGAAGGGUUGAUUUCCAGAAUGUGUGCUUUAGUUACACUGCUGGAAAAGAGAUUCUCAGUGAAGUCUCAUUCACAGUGAUGCCUGGUCAGACAGUUGCACUGGUUGGUCUGUCCGGAUCAGGAAAAAGCACCAUCAUCCGCUUGCUUUUCCGUUUUUAUGACGUGCAAGGAGGCUGCAUCCUCAUCGAUGGUCAGGACAUCUCAAAGGUGAGACAGAGCUCCCUCCGAUCCUACAUUGGUGUAGUUCCUCAGGACACCGUCCUUUUCAAUGACAACAUCCGUGAAAACAUUCGCUAUGGACGCAUCUCUGCAAGUGACCAGGAAGUAGCAGAGGCUGCGAUGGCUGCUGAUAUCCACAAUAAGAUAUUAUCCCUUCCAAAUGGAUAUGAGACUGAAGUGGGUGAAAGGGGUCUGAAGUUGAGUGGGGGAGAGAAACAGAGAGUGGCCAUCGCUCGCACAAUCCUAAAAUCCCCUCGCAUCAUUUUGCUCGAUGAAGCCACAUCUGCUUUAGAUAGUCAAACAGAGCGUAACAUUCAGACUUCUCUUGCUAAGGUGUGUGCCAACCACACCACUCUCGUCGUGGCACACAGGUUAUCCACCAUCAUCAGCUCCGAUCAGAUCCUCGUUCUUCAUGACGGGCGGAUUGCAGAACGAGGAAGGCAUGAGGAGCUGCUGGCCAUAGGGGGACUGUAUGCUGCUAUGUGGUUAAAACAGCAGCAAACCCCAGAGUCAGAGGUCUCCACAGAAGAACAACCGCAGGAGCCAUAGCAGAGCGUCUGAAGCUGAUGGAGCAGCGAUGAUGAAUGAUGACGGUGAAAUCGAUCAGGAAAAUGGAACUUCAAGAGGAGAGCUGACAUUCAUUUGUCCUGACAUUCAUGCUAAUGGCAGUUGUUGAAAUGAACAGUUUGCCGAACUCUUUCUACUUUAAGAAGAAAUGAGCAGCUUUCCUGUGGGAAGCCGAGCGUCUGGUGGCCCUGAUCCUGUGUGGUCCUUUUCUCUCAAGCCCCCCUUUGUCACUACAUCCCUGUCUGGGGAUCAGGUUGUUGCCUUUGUCCCUAGAGAGUCUGUCCCUAUUGUCAUGGAAGGGUGGGCUUUACUGUGCAGUCUGCUCCCUUCUGUUUGCCCUGCUCUAAACAUAUGGCCGGGAUUACUUACCACCUUUUUGCAAAGAAUUGUGGGAUUUUAGUGAAGCAACAUGAGUGUACUUUAUAAAAGCAAUAUAAUUAAAUGUGUGCACAGUUUCUGGAAUGAUUGUAUUAAUGAUAGAUGAAAGAGACAUGAGUUGGAUGGCUGGUCUAUUGUGAGUUGAUAAAAGGACCUGUCUGUGUUUCUUAAUAAGAUUGGGGACUUAAGAUUGUGCCAUAUUUCUCUAUGAAAUUCGAUCUAAUCUCUCUCGUCUUCCUUUUUAAGUGAGGAGUUGCUCUGGGUUGUCCAUGUGCAUUAAGGGAAUACGGUUUGAAGCAUCCCCUCUUGGACGUUUGCUACACAGGUGGCGUUCUCAUUAGCAGCACUAAAAAUACUCUGUUGUAAGACAAGUACCACCAAAGUGCAAAGUGUCUACAUAUUCAUCCCUUCCAAGAAAUGAAACCAAAUGAACAGAUGAGAGUCAACCAGAAGUCAACUUCCAUAGCGUAAUACUUUUAUCCUUUGGUUAGUGGGCACUUUGAAGUGGUGGGCUUGGGGAAACACGUUGGAUUCAUUUACGGGAAGAUAAGAGAUUCCUAAACUCUUCUUAUUCAUCUGUCCGCUCUGUGCUUCCUGUAAGCCCACAUUUAAUCUACCUCAGCACCUUCAGAAUAACAUAGUAGGCUUGACUGUGAAAAUACAAUCCUGUUACAAGAAAUCCACUGAACUAAGAUAUUUUCAUAAAAAAAAACAACCAGGUUUUAAACCACUACAGAGCUCAACAGUGAGGUUCUAAAAGUAAAAAAUCCCAUUUUUUUUCCUCCAUUAGAAAUGGAAAUAGAUUUUUAAUGGUAACGUAUAGACCUUUCAAAACAGACCUGAUAUAUGCCAAUAUAUGCUUCUGUAGAAGCCAUAAGUCAGUGUAAUUUCAAUUUCAUUUUUAAACAGUUGUUUAAUAGCUUAUUUCUGAGUGAAAAACUACACUAAUCAUAAUCCUGAAGAAAAUGAUCCUGUGUUUAGAGAAGCUGCUUUUCCUGCAGAUGUGGAAUUUGUGCCAACGGAUCUCGUUUCCAAGCACUUUUCGAAUGACAUAAUCCAUGUAAUCAAACUGUUCAUAUACACCACUGCUCAAAAAGUUUGGGGUUGGUUAGAAUUUUCUUUUCUUUUUUUUAAAUGUUCAUGAAGGUCUCAUGCUCACCACCAAGGCUGCAUGUAUUUAUUUAUUUCUAUUUUAUUAUAUUUUG